rnacentral:rRNA from 1 species
UACGUAGGAUGCAAGCGUUGUCCGGAAUUAUUGGGCGUAAAGAGCGCGCAGGCGGUAACUCAAGUCAGAUGUGAAAUAUCCGGGCUUAACCCGGAGGGGUCAUUUGAAACUGAGUAACUAGAGUACAGCAGAGGAUGGCGGAAUUCCCGGUGUAGUGGUGAAAUGCGUAGAUAUCGGGAGGAACACCAGUGGCGAAGGCGGCUAUCUGGGCUGAAACUGACGCUGAGGCGCGAAGGCUAGGGGAGCAAACGGG